rnacentral:rRNA from 1 species
AUAUAUGAAAAAACAUUGAACGUGCCUGAUCUUGUCUGAUCUCGGAAGCUAAGCAGGGCCUGGCCUGGUAAGUACUUGGAUGGGAGACCACCUAGGAAUACCAGGUGCUGUAGGUG